rnacentral:rRNA from 1 species
GACGAACGCUGGCAGCGUGCUUAACACAUGCAAGUCGAACGGAAAGGCCCUGCUUUUGUGGGGUGCUCGAGUGGCGAACGGGUGAGUAACACGUGAGUAACCUGCCCUUGACUUUGGGAUAACUUCAGGAAACUGGGGCUAAUACCGGAUAGGAGCUCCUGCUGCAUGGUGGGGGUUGGAAAGUUUCGGCGGUUGGGGAUGGACUCGCGGCUUUUCAGCUUGUUGGUGGGGUAGUGGCUUACCAAGGCUUUGACGGGUAGCCGGCCUGAGAGGGUGACCGGCCACAUUGGGACUGAGAUACGGCCCAGACUCCUACGGGAGGCAGCAGUGGGGAAUAUUGCACAAUGGGCGGAAGCCUGAUGCAGCAACGCCGCGUGCGGGAUGACGGCCUUCGGGUUGUAAACCGCUUUCGCCUGUGACGAAGCGUGAGUGACGGUAAUGGGUAAAGAAGCACCGGCUAACUACGUG